UGUAGUAUAUUCUGGAAUAUUUAUUGGUGAAAAAAAAAAAAAAAGAAAGAAAAGAAAUCUCAGAUUUUUCUGAGAACUAUUUUUCCUUCUGUCAAUAGGAAGAGAAGACUUUCCAUAUACCAGUCCCAGUCUAAGUUACAACUGCAUUACAUCUUACAGUCCUGACUUGUGGACUUAAUGGUCCUGAAAUAUUCUUACCUUUGUUUUAUGAAACAUUUCCAAACAACAUUUUUUACUCUCUCAAAGGCUCUGGGUUGUGUUUAUCACUGCCUGUUGGAUGCCAUGGCCAUCGACUUUGGAAAAAAAUUCACCACUUAUUUUGUUCAGAAGAUAUGCAAAUGCAUGUUCACUGUGCCAAAAAAAACCCCAAUCGAGCAGGAAGAAACAAGCACAGAUGAAAUAUGAGAGCAUGGAGAAGCAGCAGGCACUCAGCAGAUUCUUCUCUGGCCCUGUUUCCUCCAGCUAGCAAGAAUAUGGGCAGGAAAAACUCACAAACACACCCCAUCAACAACCCAGGUAACAACCUCAAAAUGAAAAAAUGUAGUGAAAACACAAAAGAUUCAGUCAUCCAUUCUAGCUCUGAAGAAAAUGUAACCCUGUAUUUUUCCUGAGUGAAC
rnacentral:lncRNA from 1 species